GACGAACGCUGGCGGCGUGCUUAACACAUGCAAGUCGAACGGAAAGGCCCUGCUUUUGUGGGGUGCUCGAGUGGCGAACGGGUGAGUAACACGUGAGUAACCUGCCCUUGACUUUGGGAUAACUUCAGGAAACUGGGGCUAAUACCGGAUAGGAGCUCCUGCUGCAUGGUGGGGGUUAGAAAGUUUCGGCGGUUGGGGAUGGACUCGCGGCUUAUCAGCUUGUUGGUGGGGUAGUGGCUUACCAAGGCUUUGACGGGUAACCGGCCUGAGAGGGUGACCGGCCACAUUGGGACUGAGAUACGGCCCAGACUCCUACGGGAGGCAGCAGUGGGGGAUAUUGCACAAUGGGCGGAAGCCUGAUGCAGCAACGCCGCGUGCGGGAUGACGGCCUUCGGGUUGUAAACCGCUUUCGCCUGUGACGAAGCGUGAGUGACGGUAAUGGGUAAAGAAGCACCAGCUAACUACGUG
rnacentral:rRNA from 1 species